rnacentral:rRNA from 1 species
GGUUCGAUUUUAUGGCUCAGACGAACGCUGCGGAUGCUUUUACACAUGCAAGUCGAACGGCAGCACGGACUUCGGUCUGGUGGCGAGUGGCGAACGGGUGAGUAAUGUAUCGGAACGUGCCUAGUAGCGGGGGAUAACUACGGGAAAGCGCGCCAAUACCGCAUACGCCCUUCGGGGGAAAGCGGGGACCUUCGGGCCUCGCACUAUUAGAGCGGCCGGAUAUCGGAUUAGCUAGUUGGUGGGGUAACGGCUCACUGCGAUUAUCCGUAGCUGGUUUGAGAGGACGACCAGCCACACUGGGACUGAGACACGGCCCAGACCUACGGGAGGCAGCAGUGGGGAAUUUUGGACAAUGGGGGAAAACCCUGAUCUCAGCGAUCCCCGCGGUGUGCGGUGAAGGCCUUCGGGUUGUAAAGACUCUUUGGCAGGGAAAGAAACGGCACGGGAUAAUACCCCGUGCAACUGACGGUACCUGCAGAAUAAGCACCGGCUAACCAUGUGCCAGCAGCCGCGGUAAUACGUAGGGGUGCAAGCGUUAAUCGGAAUUACUGGCGUUAAAGCGUGCGCAGGCGGUUCGGAAAGAAAGAUGUGAAAUCCCAGAGCUUAACUUUGGAACUUGCAUUUUUAGAACUACCGAGCCAGAGUGUGGUCAGAGGGAGGUGGAAUUCCGCGUGUGAGAAAUGCGCAGAUAUGCGGAGGAACACCGAUGGUUAAAGGCAGCCUCCUGGGAUAACACCGACGCUCAUGCACGAAAGCGUGGGGAGCAAACAGGAUUAGAUACCCUGGUAGUCCACGCCUCAAACGAUGUCAAUCUAUUGCUGGGGCCCUCGGGCUCAUGGUAGCGCAGGCUAACGCGAAGUUGACCGCCUGGGGAGUACGGUCGCAAGAUUAAAACUCAAAGGAAUUGAUGGGAUUCCGCGCCAAGUGGUGGAUGAUGUGGAUUAAUUCGAUGCAACGCGAAAAACCUACCUACCCUUGACAUGUCUGGAAUCCCGAAGAGAUUUGGGAGUGCCAAAAGAGAACCGAACACAGGUGCUGCAUGGCUGUCGUCAGCCCGUGUCGUGAGAUGUUGGGUUAAGUCCCGCAACGAGCAACCCUUGUCAUUAGUUGCUGUUUAGGUGCGGCACUCCAAUGAGACUUGCCGCGACAAACCGGAGGAAGGUGGGGAUGACGUCAAGUCCUCAUGGCCCUUAUGGGGGUCAUGACGUUACGCAGACAAUGCAGCCAACAUGGAGGGUCGCCAACCCGCGCGAGGGGAGCCAAUCCCAGAAACCCGAUCAGAACUGGAUCGCAGUCUGCAACUCGACCGCGUGAAGUCGGAAUCAUAGUAAUUCGCGACCAUGUCGCGGAAUAUGUUCCUUGGCCCUGUAGCACUGCCCGUCACACCAUGGGAGUGGUUUUACCAGAAGAAGUUGAGUCAAUCAAGGAGGGCGAUUACCACGGAGGAUUCAUGAUUGGGGUGAAGUCGUAACAAGGUAGAGCACAUGAAUUUAU